AGGAGCUUGCUUCUCUGGAUGAGUUGCGAACGGGUGAGUAACGCGUAGGUAACCUGCCUGGUAGCGGGGGAUAACUAUUGGAAACGAUAGCUAAUACCGCAUAAGAGUGGAUGUUGCAUGACAUUUGCUUAAAAGGUGCACUUGCAUCACUACCAGAUGGACCUGCGUUGUAUUAGCUAGUUGGUGGGGUAAGGGCUCACCAAGGCGACGAUACAUAGCCGACCUGAGAGGGUGAUCGGCCACACUGGGACUGAGACACGGCCCAGACUCCUACGGGAGGCAGCAGUAGGGAAUCUUCGGCAAUGGACGGAAGUCUGACCGAGCAACGCCGCGUGAGUGAAGAAGGUUUUCGGAUCGUAAAGCUCUGUUGUAAGAGAAGAACGAGUGUGAGAGUGGAAAGUUCACACUGUGACGGUAUCUUACCAGAAAGGGACGGCUAACUACGUGCCAGCAGCCGCGGUAAUACGUAGGUCCCGAGCGUUGUCCGGAUUUAUUGGGCGUAAAGCGAGCGCAGGCGGUUAGAUAAGUCUGAAGUUAAAGGCUGUGGCUUAACCAUAGUAGGCUUUGGAAACUGUUUAACUUGAGUGCAAGAGGGGAGAGUGGAAUUCCAUGUGUAGCGGUGAAAUGCGUAGAUAUAUGGAGG
rnacentral:rRNA from 1 species